rnacentral:misc_RNA from 1 species
GAUGAAGAACGUAGCGAAAUGCGAUAAGUAAUGUGAAUUGCAGAAUUCAGUGAAUCAUCGAAUCUUUGAACGCACCUUGCACCCUUUGGUAUUCCGAAGGGUAUGCUCGUUUGAGUGUCAUUGUACUCUCACACUUCUAAUUCCUUUCGGGAUUGGGAGCGGUGGACUUGGGUGUUGCUGCUUUAGUUGUGGCUCACCUCAAAUAAGUUAGUGCAACUCUUGGUUGGACAUAGUUCGGCGUGAUAAGUGUCUUCGCCGGCGCCUCUGUAAGGAGGGUGGCCGAUCGGGAGCUCUGUGCUUCAAACCGUCUUCGGACAAUCUUUGACAACUUGACCUCAAAUCGAGUAGGACUACCCGCUGAACUUAAGCAUAUCAAUAAGCGGAGGA